rnacentral:lncRNA from 1 species
GUGUGCACAUGUUAAUGUAAGUGGCCAUGAUGAGUGGUAGCAGUUGAUGGCUAGACACGAUUUCCCAAGGGCUAUAAAACGUGAUGAUUGCCUAAGGAUCCUCACGUGGGUUCUAAAGCGAGGUUUUGCUAAAGUAGUCAUCAUUACGGUGUCGUCAUAGCAGAGGAAACGUUGUGUGAUGUCGAAUUAAGUUUGUCAAGAAACAAAAAAAAUACCUUUUUCUUCUAUAGAUCAAAAAGAGGCAUUGUUUGGGGGGCAAUUUG